GGGCUGUUAGCUCAGUUGGUAUAGCAGUUGACUCUUAAUCAAUAGGUCCAAGGUUCGAAUCCUUGACAGCCCACCA
rnacentral:tRNA from 1 species